rnacentral:rRNA from 1 species
UGCAUCGAUGAAGAACGCAGCAAACUGCGAUAAGUAAUGUGAAUUGCAGAAUUCAGUGAAUCAUCGAAUCUUUGAACGCAAAUGGCGCUCUUGGGAUCUUCCCAGGAGCACGUCUGUCUGAGCGUCGUUUCUCAUCUCCCUCGCCCGAGGGGUCUUGGAGCGUCCCGUCGCCUCUACCGGCGACCGGUCCUUCGAAAUUAAGCGAAUCCGAGAGUGAUCGAAGCGUCUUUCGCGUCGCGAACUCCUCGGUGUGGUAGGUAACUAGCACUCGAGGGUCGCGGAGGCGGAACGACGAGGCUUUCGCUUUCGACAGUUCGAACGGCGGCGACUCGCAAGAGACGCCUACAUUAGACCUCAGAUCAAACGAGACUACCCGCUGAACUUAAGCAUAUCAAUAAGCGGAGGA